GACGAACGCUGGCGGCGUGCUUAACGCAUGCAAGUCGAACGAGGUCCAUCCAGCUUGCUGGAGAAGACCGAGUGGCGAACGGGUGAGUAACACGUGAGGAACCCACCCGAAGACCGGGAUAACCCUCCGAAAGGAGAGCUAAGUACCGGAUGCCGUCGGGGGCCGCAUGGCCUGCCGACGAAAUAGGAUUCCGCUUCGGGACGGCCUCGCGGCCUAUCAGCUAGCUGGUGAGGAACGGCCCACCAAGGCGUCGACGGGUAGCUGGUCUGAGAGGACGGUCAGCCACACUGGGACUGAGACACGGCCCAGACUCCUACGGGAGGCAGCAGCGGGGAAUAUUGCGCAAUGGGCGAAAGCCUGACGCAGCAACGCCGCGUGAGGGAU
rnacentral:rRNA from 1 species